GGCUGUUGAUGAUGUACAUUAACAGAUGGGAAUCUCUCUGAAAGGGGAUGAGGACUCCAUUCUACACUGAAACAGUG